GAUGAACGCUGGCGGCGUGCCUAAUACAUGCAAGUCGAGCGAACGGACGAGAAGCUUGCUUCUCUGAUGUUAGCGGCGGACGGGUGAGUAACACGUGGAUAACCUACCUAUAAGACUGGGAUAACUUCGGGAAACCGGAGCUAAUACCGGAUAAUAUUUUGAACCGCAUGGUUCAAAAGUGAAAGACGGUCUUGCUGUCACUUAUAGAUGGAUCCGCGCUGCAUUAGCUAGUUGGUAAGGUAACGGCUUACCAAGGCAACGAUGCAUAGCCGACCUGAGAGGGAGAUCGGGCACACGGGAACUGAGACACGGUCCAGACUCCUACGGGAGGCAGCAGUAGAGAAUCUUCCGCGAUGGACGAAAGCCUGACGGAGCAACACCGCGGGAGUGAUGAAGGUCUUCGGAUCGUAAAACGCUGUUAUUAGGAAAGAACAUAUGUUUAAGUAACUGUGCAGAUCAUGACGGUACCUAAUCAAAAAGCCACGGCUAACUACGUG
rnacentral:rRNA from 1 species